UACAGAGGUCUCAAGCGUUGUUCGGAAUCACUGGGCGUAAAGGGUGUGUAGGCGGCGUGAAAAGUCAGAUGUGAAAUCUGGGGGCUCAACCCCCAAAUAGCAUCCGAUACUGUCAUGCUCGAGGUCUGUAGAGGAGUCUGGAAUUCUCGGUGUAGCAGUGAAAUGCGUAGAGAUCGAAGAGGAACACUUGUUGCGAAAGCGAGACUCUGGGCAGAA
rnacentral:rRNA from 1 species